UACGUAGGGGGCUAGCGUUGUCCGGAAUUACUGGGCGUAAAGCGCGCGUAGGCGGCUUUUCAAGUCGAUUGUGAAAUCCCCGGGCUUAACCUGGGAACUGCAGUCGAGACUGUCUAGCUAGAGUAUGGGAGAGGGAAGUGGAAUUUCAGGUGUAGCGGUGAAAUGCGUAGAUAUCUGAAGGAACAUCAGUGGCGAAAGCGACUUCCUGGACCAAUACUGACGCUCAUGUGCGAAAGCGUGGGGAGCAAACAGG
rnacentral:rRNA from 1 species